rnacentral:lncRNA from 1 species
AUUAUAAAUUUCAUUAAAAUAAAACAUUAUCCUUUGUUCAAAAUUUACACGACUAGAUAUGUAUUAAACUAUUUGAGUUAUGAUUUAAAUCAACAUGUUAAUCUCUUGUUUGCAAUAAACAUUAUGGUUAAGGGACCAUUGUUGCAACGUAUUAUGUAUGAUGGCCUUUGCACCGGGUGAUAGCACAUAAGCAAAGUAGUGCAAAAUUACC